GGAAGAGCCCCUGCUGCUCUACAUUGCCAUGACCACACAAGUGGUCAGCACGGCGCUCGUCGUAGAACUCGAGGAGCUCGGGCAAGCCCUCAAAGUGCAAAUGUGACAGCCCUAGUAAUUAAGCAACUAAAUUAGAGAAUCAUCAAAGUGAUUAAGAAACUAAAUCAAAGAAUCAACAAAGGAAUAAGAAAUAAGUGAGAUCUAACUCCAAGUUGCUAAGAGUUAAGAACCCAAAAACAUCUUAAAUUGUUCGCUAGAUGUUAAAAACUUCUCCUAUUGAGAAUAACUUUUGAGGCCGAUAAAAACAAAUUUUAUAUAAGAACUUAAAUCUUGACCAAUAUACUAGUGGUAGAACAUUUCAAGUUGAACACCUUCCACUCACAAUACUUCUUUCAAUUUUGAGCAGAGGAUGUUCCAAAAUUGAGUAGACGAUCGGUGAAAUUUCAAAUCCGAUUCCAAAAUAGCUUUGGCCAACGAUCCACCAAACAUCCUACCAUCCUAUCUCCAACUUCGUUGAGCUUUUCCUUGUUUAUCUUUAUAAAAGUCAUAGCACAUACCUUGUUCCCG
rnacentral:lncRNA from 1 species